UCCCUGGUGGUGUAGUGGAUAAGACUCUGCACUCACAAUGCAGGGGGUCCUGGUUCGAUCCCUGGUCAGGGAA